rnacentral:rRNA from 1 species
UACGUAGGGUGCGAGCGUUGUCCGGAAUUAUUGGGCGUAAAGAGCUCGUAGGCGGCUUGUCGCGUCGGAUGUGAAAGCCCGGGGCUUAACUCCGGGUCUGCAUUCGAUACGGGCAGGCUAGAGUUCGGUAGGGGAGAUCGGAAUUCCUGGUGUAGCGGUGAAAUGCGCAGAUAUCGGGAAGAACACCCGUGGCGAAGGCGGCACUCUGGGACGGUACUGACGCUGAGACGCGAAAGCGUGGGGAGCGAACAGG